rnacentral:rRNA from 1 species
UACGUACGAGGCGAGCGUUAUCCGGAAUUACUGGGCGUAAAGCGCGCGCAGGCGGAUCGGCAAGUGAGGCGUGAAAUCUCCCGGCUUAACUGGGAGGGGUCGCUUCAGACUACCGGUCUUGAGGACUGCAGAGGUGGGUGGAAUUCCUGGUGUAGUGGUGAAAUGCGUAGAGAUCAGGAGGAACACCGGUGGCGAAGGCGGCCCACUGGGCAGUCACUGACGCUGAGGCGCGAAAGCUCGGGGAGCGAACGGG